rnacentral:rRNA from 1 species
AGUUUGAUCAUGGCUCAGGAUGAACGCUAGCGGCAGGCUUAAUACAUGCAAGUCAAGGGGGUAGCAAUACUACCGGCGCACGGGUGAGUAACACGUACAUAACAUACCAUAUACUGGGGUAUAGCUUUGGGAAACUGAAGGUAAUCCCCCAUAACAUUGCGAGAGGGCAUCUGAUUGCAAUUAAAGUUUCGACGGUAUAUGAUUGAUGUGCGUUUGAUUAGCUUGUUGGUAGGGUAACGGCCUACCAAGGCGACGAUCAAUAGCUGGCGUGAGAGCGCGACCAGCCACACUGGAACUGAGACACGGUCCAGACUCCUACGGGAGGCAGCAGUAGGGAAUAUUGGACAAUGGGCGAAAGCCUGAUCCAGCCAUGCCGCGUGAUAGAUGAAGGCCCUCUGGGUUGUAAAUAUCUUUUAUCUGGGAAGAAACAAUCUUAUUCUUAAGAUCUUGACGGUACCAGAGGAAUAAGCACCGGCUAACUCCGUG